rnacentral:lncRNA from 1 species
GAAGAUGUCAUAUCCUUAUGGCAUCAGGACUUCAUUGCUUCCACAUCCCCAGGGAGCCCAGGAGGUGCCAUAUUGUUUUCCUGCACUCACUGUUGCACACCCCCACCCUCACACUGCCUCCAGGAAGAGCGUGAGGGACAGGAUCACCCUGUCCAGGGGCUGGGUGCCUGUGCUUGGCCGUUCUGCUUGAUAAAACACAUCAAUGUUUACUUGGCAUCAGAGACGUGCACAUUGCCUUUGCCUACCUAUAAUCAGCGCCUCCAACUUCCUGCUCUAAUUAGCCCCUGGGGAGGCUUUGUUGGUAAUGGCCCUCAGUGGGACCCAUUAGCGCACCAAGAAACUUUGGAAUUUGCUUCUGACUUUAACUUCUUGAAAGGUUUGUUCAGUCUCCCCUCAGUAUCUGAGGUUCAUGGACUCAGCACCAAAUACACCAGAGGGGCCAUUAAAAUGCAAAAAACCCGAACAAGCUAUGUCACCCCCCCUAAUUUUCUUCAGUUCUUCAAUUCUUGUAUGGCUAAUUGGAGAGGUUUCAAGAGUGUAUUUACAAGAGGAAGAUUUCAAAGAGCACCGAAAAAAAAAAAAGCACCACUGAUCUCUCCAGGAACCUGUCCUGUUUAUCAUCUUUAUUAGUGACACGGAGGAAGCAACACUCAUCAUGCUUGUAGAUUGCCCCAAACUGGAAGGGGCAGACCAGUCCUGUGCGUGAGGGCUGCCAUUCAGAGGGACCUAGACAGGCAGGAGCAAUGAGCAUCAGAAACCUCACUAAAUUCAGCAAGGACAAAUGCCAGGUCUUGCACCUGSCAUAGACCAACACCCCACAGUGUUACAGUCUGGGGCCUGAGUGCCUGGGGAGUGGCUCUGCAGAAAAGGACAUGAGGGUCUUGGUGGACAGAAGGCAAAAUAUGAGCCAGCAGCAUUCCGUGGCAGCAAAGAAGGCCAAAAAGUACUGUGGGUUGCAUGAACAGGAGCAUAGCCAGGAGGUAGAAGUAAAUGAUGAUGCUCCUCUAGUCAGCAUUCAUUAGACCACAUCUAGAAUACUACAUCCAGUUUAGGUCCCCAGAAAAAGAGAGAGGUKGGUAYCUGRGAGYGAUUUUGGCAGAGAGMCCUCAAGACAGUUGGGGAGCUGGAGCACUAUGCAGAUACAGGGCUUGUUCAACCUGGAGAAGAGAUGGCUUUGGAUGGACCUCACAGCAGCCUAUCAAUAGCUACAAGGAGGUCACCAAGAAGAUGGAGCUAGGCUCUUCACCAUGGUGCAUGGUGGGAGGACAAGCAACAAUGGGCAUAAGUUGGAAGAAGAGGUGUUCAUGCAGGAGGUAAGGAAAAGCUUUUCCACUAUGAGGAUGGUCAAGCAUUGGAACUGGUUGCCCAGAGAGGCUAUGCAGUCUCCCCACUUGGAGGUUUCCAAGACCACACUGGAUCAAGAUCAGAGCAACAUGGCUGACCCCAGAGMUGACCCUGCUGUGAGCACGGAGAUYGGACUAGAGASCUCCUGAGGUCCCUUCCACCCUGAUGGAGUUGGUGAUUCUUCCCCCUCUGGGUCUUAGCUUGUUGAUGUCAGGGAAAGCACACAGGUUCCCYGUGACAGUGGAAGUAGGUCAGCUUGAUUCUCCUCCUCCAGUCAGAAUGGUUC